AGAGAAACAGAAACCAAUCAGAUGAACAAGCUUCAGAGUUCCCAAAACAAAUUUAAAUUAUUAAUGGCAACACUGGGGUGUCAUGGGAUAUCCGCAUGCGAGCAUAUGGACCAAGAAGCAGCAGAGGACAAAGAAUGAGAAGGUCUUUAUCCUGUUGAGAUGACUCCAGGUCCCUCUUGAUCUCAGGAAAGUCUUUCAGGACGCGUUGAAAGUGACCCACUGACAAGGAAAAGAGCUGGCAGCAGUCCGAUGGGAACUCUUCAAGCAUAGGUACGAAAUACUGAAUACAGCCGUUCCAAUGACAAAGCAGGAAAAUCAUCAUAAAUAAAGACAAGAUCCGCAGGAAUAACCUCAUCACCUCCAGAUGUAUUACACAAAUAUCAUUAGGAGCAAACAUUUGUUACUUACUUUCUCUACCUCAUUGAAAAACCGAACAAGCCGGGACACACGCAGCAGACGGACAAGACUGAGGAUUCUCACGAACAUCAAGAUGCGCAUCAUU